rnacentral:misc_RNA from 1 species
UUUCCGUAGGUAACCUGCGAAGGAUCAUUAAAAAAUAUCACACGUUUUUUGUGUGAUUUAAUAAUCAUCCUACCCUUUGUGAAUUUGUUUUGUUUGAAAAUUUAUGUGUCUAUCCUGAUGGUUUUUGGAAAAGUUGAAAAACUUUUUCGAAUCCUCAGGACUAGGCUUUCAUAGACCUUUUUUUAAAUUCAACCUUUGUAUUCAUUUGUCUAAAAUUAUUUUUAAUAAUUUAAAACAACUUUGACAAUGGAUCUCUUGGUUCUCGCAACGAUGAAGAACGCAGCAAAAUGCGAUAAGUAAUGUGAAUUGCAGAAUACGUGAAUCAUCAAAUCUUCGAACGCAUAUUGCACUUUUUAGUUUACUAAAAGUAUGUCUGUUUGAGUAUCAGUAAAUAUUCUCAUAAAAUAUUUUUGUUUUUAUGUUAUGAGUGUUUUACAACGAUAACAAGUUGUUUCACUUUAAAUUGAUUUUUUAAAUAAGCCAAUUUGGUUUUAUUUCUAAAAUUGGAUAAAUUUUCCCGUAAAAGGAUAAACUUUCAGUUUUAAAUAAAUCUUAAUUGACUUUUGAAUAAAAGAAAUUUAUUUAAUAACUUGAUCUCAAUCAGAUAAGAGUACCCGCUGAACUUAAGCAUAUCAAUAAGCGGAGGAAAAGAAACUAACAGGAUUCCCUUAGUAACGGCGAGUGAAGCGGGAAGAGCUCAAAUUUGAAAUCUUCAAGGCUCUACCUUGACGAAUUGUAGUUUAUAGAAGUGUUUUCUGUUAGUAGAGUGGCAAAGUUCUUUGGAAUAGGACAUCAUAGAGGGUGAGAAUCCGUAUUUGGUCAUUCUUCUAGCUUGUGAUACACUUUCAACGAGUCGGAUUGUUUGGGAAUGCAGUCCAAAAUGGGUGGUAAAUUUCAUCUAAAGCUAAUAUUGGCGAGAGACCGAUAGCGAACAAGUACCGUGAGGGAAAGAUGAAAAGAACUUUGAAAAGAGUUAAACAGUACGUGAAAUGUCAAAAGGGAAGCGUUUGACACCAGUGUUGUUUUCCGAAAAUCAAUACGAAUGUUUUAUUUUUGAGAAGUUAUGACUUCAUCGGCUUGCUUCUCUCUUAUGAACUUCUUAAUGCACUUUUCGGUUAACAAGUCAACAUCAAUUUCUUUUGUUGUAGAAGGGUAUGAGGAAGGUGGCUUUCCUUCGGAGAAAGUGUUUAUAGCCUUGUACCUCUGCAAUCGAGA